AACGCGAAGAACCUUACCAAGGCUUGACAUCCCCUUGACAGAUGCAGAGAUGUGUCCUCUCCUUCGGGAGCAAGGGAGACAGGUGGUGCAUGGUUGUCGUCAGCUCGUGUCGUGAGAUGUUGGGUUAAGUCCCGCAACGAGCGCAACCCUUGUCAUUAGUUGCCAGCAGAAGAUGGGCACUCUAAUGAGACUGCCGGUGAUAAACCGGAGGAAGGUGGGGAUGACGUCAAAUCAUCAUGCCCCUUAUGUCUUGGGCUACACACGUGCUACAAUGGUCGGAACAAAGGGAAGCGAAGGAGCGAUCCGGAGCAAAACCUCAUAAACCGAUCCCAGUUCGGAUUGCAGGCUGCAACUCGCCUGCAUGAAGUCGGAGUUGCUAGUAAUCGCGAAUCAGAACGUCGCGGUGAAUGCGUUCCCGGGUCUUGUACACACCG
rnacentral:rRNA from 1 species